CAGCGAUUUCCCACGAGCAAUUCGAGCGGAGGCUUCGCCAGACAUACAUCCUUCAGAAAACUGUUCAACUUUGAGGAGAGAUGAAGGCACUUCUACUGCUCCUGGUUGUCGGUAUUGCUCUAGCAGCGACUGAUCCGAGCAGCAAUCUUCAACAUAAUAACGAUGACAAAGGUCCGUAUCCGUAUCCGUAUCCAUAUGUGACAUCUGACAUUGAAAAGCGG
rnacentral:lncRNA from 1 species